rnacentral:tRNA from 1 species
GGACCUGUGGUCUAGUGGCUAUGACGGCUCGUUGACGUCGAGCAGGUCGCCAGUUCGAAUCUGGCCAGGUCCA